rnacentral:rRNA from 1 species
UACAGAGGGGGCAAGCGUUGUUCGGAAUUACUGGGCGUAAAGGGCGCGUAGGCGGCCUGUUAAGUCGAACGUGAAAUCUCCGAGCUUAACUCGGAAAUGGCAUUGGAUACUAUUCGGCUAGAGGGUUUGAGGGGGGACUGGAAUACUUGGUGUAGCAGUGAAAUGCGUAGAUAUCAAGUGGAACACCAGUGGCGAAGGCGAGUCCCUGGAAAACUCCUGACACUGAGGCACGAAAGCUAGGGGAGCAAACAGG